rnacentral:rRNA from 1 species
CCCUUAGAUGCUCUGGGCCGCACGCGCGCUACACUGGUCGAUGCAACGAGUUUCUUUCCUUGGCCGACAGGCUCGGGCAAUCUUUGAACGCUGGUCGUGAUGGGGAUAGACUUUUGCAAUUUUUGGUCUUCAACGAGGAAUUCCUAGUAAACGCAAGUCAUCAACUUGCAUUGAUUACGUCCCUGCCCUUUGUACACACCGCCCGUCGCACCUACCGAUUGAAUGGUCCGGUGAAGCCUCCGGAUUGGCGCGCACCUCGGUGCCGCCGAGAAGUUGGCUAAACCUUACCAUUUAGAGGAAGGUGAAGUCGUAACA